rnacentral:rRNA from 1 species
UACAUGCAAGUCGAGCGGACAGAUGGGAGCUUGCUCCCUGAUGUUAGCGGCGGACGGGUGAGUAACACGUGGGUAACCUGCCUGUAAGACUGGGAUAACUCCGGGAAACCGGGGCUAAUACCGGAUGCUUGUUUGAACCGCAUGGUUCAAACAUAAAAGGUGGCUUCGGCUACCACUUACAGAUGGACCCGCGGCGCAUUAGCUAGUUGGUGAGGUAAUGGCUCACCAAGGCGACGAUGCGUAGCCGACCUGAGAGGGUGAUCGGCCACACUGGGACUGAGACACGGCCCAGACUCCUACGGGAGGCAGCAGUAGGGAAUCUUCCGCAAUGGACGAAAGUCUGACGGAGCAACGCCGCGUGAGUGAUGAAGGUUUUCGGAUCGUAAAGCUCUGUUGUUAGGGAAGAACAAGUACCGUUCGAAUAGGGCGGUACCUUGACGGUACCUAACCAGAAAGCCACGGCUAACUACGUGCCAGCAGCCGCGGUAAUACGUAGGUGGCAAGCGUUGUCCGGAAUUAUUGGGCGUAAAGGGCUCGCAGGCGGUUUCUUAAGUCUGAUGUGAAAGCCCCCGGCUCAACCGGGGAGGGUCAUUGGAAACUGGGGAACUUGAGUGCAGAAGAGGAGAGUGGAAUUCCACGUGUAGCGGUGAAAUGCGUAGAGAUGUGGAGGAACACCAGUGGCGAAGGCGACUCUCUGGUCUGUAACUGACGCUGAGGAGCGAAAGCGUGGGGAGCGAACAGGAUUAGAUACCCUGGUAGUCCACGCCGUAAACGAUGAGUGCUAAGUGUUAGGGGGUUUCCGCCCCUUAGUGCUGCAGCUAACGCAUUAAGCACUCCGCCUGGGGAGUACGGUCGCAAGACUGAAACUCAAAGGAAUUGACGGGGGCCCGCACAAGCGGUGGAGCAUGUGGUUUAAUUCGAAGCAACGCGAAGAACCUUACCAGGUCUUGACAUCCUCUGACAAUCCUAGAGAUAGGACGUCCCCUUCGGGGGCAGAGUGACAGGUGGUGCAUGGUUGUCGUCAGCUCGUGUCGUGAGAUGUUGGGUUAAGUCCCGCAACGAGCGCAACCCUUGAUCUUAGUUGCCAGCAUUCAGUUGGGCACUCUAAGGUGACUGCCGGUGACAACCGGAGGAAGGUGGGGAUGACGUCAAAUCAUCAUGCCCCUUAUGACCGGGCUACCCACGGGCUAAAUGGAAGAAACAAGGGGGCGAAACCCCGAGGUUAACCAUCCCCCAAAUUUGUUUCCAUUCGGAUCCAAAUUGCAACUCACGGGGGAAGUGGAAUCCUUUAAUCCGGAUCCAUGCGCCGGGAAAAAUUCCCGGCCUUGUC